rnacentral:rRNA from 1 species
AGUUUGAUCCUGGCUCAGGAUGAACGCUAGCGGCAGGCUUAAUACAUGCAAGUCGUGGGGUAAAUGCAGGUAGCAAUAUUUGUAUGAGACCGGCAAACGGGUGCGUAACACGUACGCAACUUUCCUUCAACUGGAGAAUAGCCCAUCGAAAGAUGGAUUAAUACUCCGUAAUGUUAUGAAAAGGCAUCUUUUUGUAACUAUAGCUCCGGCGGUUGAAGAUGGGCGUGCGUCCCAUUAGGUAGUUGGCGGGGUAACGGCCCACCAAGCCGACGAUGGGUAGCUGGCGUGAGAGCGCGACCAGCCACACGGGCACUGAGACACGGGCCCGACUCCUACGGGAGGCAGCAGUAAGGAAUAUUGGUCAAUGGACGCAAGUCUGAACCAGCCAUGCCGCGUGAAGGAUGAAGGUCCUCAGGAUUGUAAACUUCUUUUAUCUGGGAAGAAAUUCUCGAUUUCUAUCGGGAUUGACGGUACCAGAGGAAUAAGCACCG